UAAACUAUGAUAUCACUUGAAAGCUUUUUAGACAAUAUUAAUAAAAUAUUUAAGCGAUAGUUAGACAAAUUUGAUUUUUUUUCUAGCCAAAAGUUUAUUAUUAAUUAGCAUCAGUUAUUUCAAGAUGUUUAAGAAAGAUGGACAAAAAAAUAGGAUGGACAUAAAUGAUAUAUGAACUAUGAAUAGUACAUUGUAAAGUUGACUUUGAUAACACAUCUGCACAUCUAUUUCCGGUCCUUUUUGAUGCAUUAAUUCAAUUUAUUCAGAACAGUUAUUCCACAAAGAGAUCGUAUGAGAUAUUGUUUUAAUAUUCAGAUUUGUUUCUUGAUUGUUAAGAAGAUUGAUAACUGUAAAAAUGUCUCCUUCGAAUAUGAUAUAUCUAUAACCGAGUCUCCAACAUGAGACAAGUUUGUU